rnacentral:rRNA from 1 species
AUUGAACGCUGGCGGCAGGCCUAACACAUGCAAGUCGAGCGGAUGAAGGGAGCUUGCUCCUGGCUUCAGCGGCGGACGGGCGAGUAAUGCCUAGGAAUCUGCCUGGUCGUGGGGGCUAACGUCCGGACACGGGCGCUAAUACCGCAUCCGUCCUGAGGGAGAACGUGGGGGAUCUUCGGACCUCACGCUAUCAGCUGAGCCUAGGUCGGAUUAGCUAGUUGGUGGGGUAAAGGCUUACCAAGGCGACGAUCCGUAACUGGUCUGAGAGGCUGAUCAGUCACACUGGAACUGAGACACGGUCCAGACUCCUACGGGAGGCAGCAGUGGGGAAUAUUGGGCAAUGGGCGAAAGCCUGACGGAGCAAUGCCGCGUGUGUGAAGAAGGUCUUCGGAUUGUAAAGCACUUUAAGUAGGGAGGAAGGGCAGUAAGUUAAUACCUGGCUGUUUUGACGUUACCAACAGAGUAAGCACCGGCUAACUUCGUG